rnacentral:tRNA from 1 species
GGGGAUUUAGCUCUGUGGCAAAGCACCUGCUUGGCAAGCAGGAGAUCCUCAGUUUGAUUCCUGGUAUCCUCC